UUCCGGUUGAUCCCGCCGGAAGUCACUGCUAUCGGGGUUCGAUUAAGCCAUGCGAGUCGAGAGGGUUCGGCCCUCGGCGUACUGCUCAGUAACACGUGGAUAACCUGCCCUAGGGAAGGGGAUAACCCCGGGAAACUGGGGAUAAUACCCUAUAGGUUACAGAUGCUGGAAUGCUCUGUAACCCAAAGUUCCGGCGCCCUAGGAUGGAUCUGCGGCCGAUUAGGUUGUUGUUGGGGUAAUGGCCCAACAAGCCAGUAAUCGGUACGGGUUGUGGGGGCAAGAGCCCGGAGUUGGAUUCUGAGACACGGAUCCAGGCCCUACGGGGCGCAGCAGGCGCGAAAACUUUACAAUGCGGGCAACCGUGAUAAGGGAACCUCGAGUGCCUGUAAAUGCAGGCUGUUUAGGUGUUUAAAACGCACCUGGAGAAAGGGCCGGGCAAGACCGGUGCCAGCCGCCGCGGUAAUACCGGCGGCUCGAGUGGUGGCCACUUUUAUUGGGCUUAAAGCGUUCGUAGCUGGGUUGUUAAGUCUCUUGGGAAAUCUGGCGGCUUAACCGUCAGGCGUCUAAGGGAUACUGGCAAUCUUGGAACCGGGAGAGGUGAGGGGUACUUCGGGGGUAGGAGUGAAAUCCUGUAAUCCUCGAGGGACCACCUGUGGCGAAGGCGCCUCACCAGAACGGCUUCGACAGUGAGGGACGAAAGCUGGGGGAGCAAACCGGAUUAGAUACCCGGGUAGUCCCCAGCCGUAAACUAUGCGCGUUAGGUGUAUCGGUGACCACGAGUUACCGAGGUGCCGAAGGGAAACCGUGAAACGUGCCGCCUGGGAAGUACGGUCGCAAGGCUGAAACUUAAAGGAAUUGGCGGGGAGCACCACAACGGGUGGAGCCUGCGGUUUAAUGGGAUUCACGCCGGG
rnacentral:rRNA from 1 species